rnacentral:rRNA from 1 species
AGAGUUUGAUCCUGGCUCAGGAUGAACGUUAGCUACAGGCUUAACACAUGCAAGUCGAGGGGAAACGAUAUUGGAAGCUUGCUUCCGAUAGGCGUCGACCGGCGCACGGGUGAGUAACGCGUAUCCAACCUGCCCACCACUUGGGGAUAACCUUGCGAAAGUAAGACUAAUACCCAAUGAUAUCUCUAGAAGACAUCUGAAAGAGAUUAAAGAUUUAUCGGUGAUGGAUGGGGAUGCGUCUGAUUAGCUUGUUGGCGGGGUAACGGCCCACCAAGGCAACGAUCAGUAGGGGUUCUGAGAGGAAGGUCCCCCACAUUGGAACUGAGACACGGUCCAAACUCCUACGGGAGGCAGCAGUGAGGAAUAUUGGUCAAUGGACGAGAGUCUGAACCAGCCAAGUAGCGUGCAGGAAGACGGCCCUAUGGGUUGUAAACUGCUUUUAUAAGGGAAUAAAGUGAGAGUCGUGACUCUUUUUGCAUGUACCUUAUGAAUAAGGACCGGCUAAUUCCGUGCCAGCAGCCGCGGUAAUACGGAAGGUCCGGGCGUUAUCCGGAUUUAUUGGGUUUAAAGGGAGCGUAGGCCGGAGAUUAAGCGUGUUGUGAAAUGUAGACGCUCAACGUCUGCACUGCAGCGCGAACUGGUUUCCUUGAGUACGCACAAAGUGGGCGGAAUUCGUGGUGUAGCGGUGAAAUGCUUAGAUAUCACGAAGAACUCCGAUUGCGAAGGCAGCUCACUGGAGCGCAACUGACGCUGAAGCUCGAAAGUGCGGGUAUCGAACAGGAUUAGAUACCCUGGUAGUCCGCACGGUAAACGAUGGAUGCCCGCUGUUGGUCUGAAUAGGUCAGCGGCCAAGCGAAAGCAUUAAGCAUCCCACCUGGGGAGUACGCCGGCAACGGUGAAACUCAAAGGAAUUGACGGGGGCCCGCACAAGCGGAGGAACAUGUGGUUUAAUUCGAUGAUACGCGAGGAACCUUACCCGGGCUUGAAUUGCAGAGGAAGGAUUUGGAGACAAUGACGCCCUUCGGGGCCUCUGUGAAGGUGCUGCAUGGUUGUCGUCAGCUCGUGCCGUGAGGUGUCGGCUUAAGUGCCAUAACGAGCGCAACCCCUCUCCUUAGUUGCCAUCAGGUUAAGCUGGGCACUCUGGGGACACUGCCACCGUAAGGUGUGAGGAAGGUGGGGAUGACGUCAAAUCAGCACGGCCCUUACGUCCGGGGCUACACACGUGUUACAAUGGCAGGUACAGAGAGACGGU